rnacentral:rRNA from 1 species
ACGUAGGGGGCGAGCGUUGUCCGGAUUUAUUGGGCGUAAAGAGCUCGUAGGCGGUUUGGCAAGUCGGGUGUGAAAUUUCGAGGCUCAACCUCGAAACGCCACUCGAUACUGCCAUGACUGGAGUCCGGUAGAGGAGUGCGGAAUUCCUGGUGUAGCGGUGAAAUGCGCAGAUAUCAGGAGGAACACCAACGGCGAAGGCAGCACUCUGGGCCGGUACUGACGCUGAGGAGCGAAAGCGUGGGGAGCAAACAGGA